UUACCCAAUUUGGAAAAAGGGUUGGGGUGCAGUACUUGUGGCAAACGGGAUCCACAGGAGAGUCGGGAUAGAAAUUCGGGUCUUGAGAUGCUGCAGGUGUAUUGAUAUUGUUUCAAUGUUGGGGGAUGUUUCGCAGCAUGGAGGGGCCUAGGACAGGAUACUCAGCCCUCUCAAGACUUGUUCCUGGGUGAAGAAACAGAGGGUUUACCUCUACCACCACUUUCUCUGGCUUCACAUGAUCGUGUGUCUUUGGAGAUGGAAUUCACUAUCAAACCCUGUUUGCUCAUAUUAUAUCCACGAAAAACACAAAACCCGGUUCCACGCGGUGCUUUAGUGGCUAAAAGUGAAAGAGCUGCCUUGGCAGAAUUCAGCUCUAUGAAUCACUUCGGAAAAUUGGUUCGACUGAAUGGCCUUAGGAGGAAAAACGUUUUAAUAGGAUCCAGGGGGAGGUUCUGCUGUUUCAAUCUGCUCCUUAAACAGGUGGAGAUGGGACCUUCUCAAUUAUACAAACAGUAAGUACCCAUCAGCUGGGAGAGCUGCCCUCCGAAUCCUCCCCGCACGCAGCCCUAAACCAGAAGCAGAACUCGGCUUUGC
rnacentral:lncRNA from 1 species